CAGUCGCCACGGGAAUACGAAGGGUGCAAGCGUUACUCGGAAUUACUGGGCGUAAAGCGUGCGUAGGUGGUGGUUUAAGUCCGUUGUGAAAGCCCUGGGCUCAACCUGGGAAUUGCAGUGGAUACUGGGUCACUAGAGUGUGGUAGAGGAUAGUGGAAUUUCCGGUGUAGCAGUGAAAUGCGUAGAGAUCGGAAGGAACAUCUGUGGCGAAGGCGACUAUCUGGGCCAACACUGACACUGAGGCACGAAAGCGUGGGGAGCAAACAGGAUUAGAUACCCCUGUGUCCCUGUCUCUUAUACA
rnacentral:rRNA from 1 species